rnacentral:precursor_RNA from 10 species
UAGGGAAUUGUGGGGAGACAAGCCGCGGUCAGCCAAUGAUGACAGAGCUGUCUGGGUCUAUAUAAUAGUGAGCUCAGUCUUUAUCGGCGGGCCGCGCUUGUUCAGUUCACCAGUCCGAACA